rnacentral:tRNA from 1 species
UGGCCGGUAGCUCAAAUGGAAGAGCGGCGGACUCUGACUCCGCAGGUUGCAGGUUCGAUUCCUGCCCGGCCGG